CAGGCACAAUAGCACCAUCUGCUGGCACAAAAAAUACAUAACAAUAAACUGCAAAACCCCAAUCUGGCUCCUACAAAGUGUAUGUGACAAGAUGAUUAACGUUUGCUUUUGUUAAAUCAGGGCUUCCCCAGCCAGGACUUCGGCUCAGACUGUGGCAUAUUCAUGUUGAUGGUAGGUCAUAACGAGCUGUAAUGCACAAAUAUUGUAUCUAGAAUAACUUUCCAACAUGGACUUUUUUAAAGUUAUCUCACAUGUUGUCUCAUAAUUUUUUUUUUAAAGUCUGCCAUGUACAUCGUUAUGGAGUCACAGUUUGACUACUCAGUUGUAAGUACUUUUCAACACGCAGUGUCAUCCUCAAGAUUGUAUUUUGUAUUGUGCACUAAAAUGAAAUACAAACAACAAUUUCAGCAUGACAUGCCUGUUUGGCGGCGAUGGUGGUGC